AGCGUAGACGGCACGGCAAGCCAGAUGUGAAAGCCCGGGGCUCAACCCCGGGACUGCAUUUGGAACUGCUGAGCUAGAGUGUCGGAGAGGCAAGUGGAAUUCCUAGUGUAGCGGUGAAAUGCGUAGAUAUUAGGAGGAACACCAGUGGCGAAGGCGGCUUGCUGGACGAUGACUGACGUUGAGGCUCGAAAGGCGUGGGAAGCAAACA
rnacentral:rRNA from 1 species